rnacentral:rRNA from 1 species
GAUGAACGCUGGCGGCGUGCCUAAUACAUGCAAGUCGAGCGAACGGACGAGAAGCUUGCUUCUCUGAUGUUAGCGGCGGACGGGUGAGUAACACGUGGAUAACCUACCUAUAAGACUGGGAUAACUUCGGGAAACCGGAGCUAAUACCGGAUAAUAUUUUGAACCGCAUGGUUCAAAAGUGAAAGACGGUCUUGCUGUCACUUAUAGAUGGAUCCGCGCUGCAUUAGCUAGUUGGUAAGGUAACGGCUUACCAAGGCAGCGAUGCAUAGCCGACCUGAGAGGGUGAUCGGCCACACUGGAACUGAGACACGGUCCAGACUCCUACGGGAGGCAGCAGUAGGGAAUCUUCCGCAAAGGGCGAAAGCCUGACGGAGCAACGCCGCGUGAGUGAUGAAGGUCUUCGGAUCGUAAAACUCUGUUAUUAGGGAAAAACAUAUGUGUAAGUAACUGUGCACAUCUUGACGGUACCUAAUCAGAAAGCCACGGCUAACUACGUG